UCAACGUUAUGUUCUUAAAUUCUACGACAUAAGUGCAGCCGACAGUCUUCUACAGUGUCUUUAUGGUGUAGAACUGGGCUAUCACAGCGGAGUCAGCAACCGUCAAAGACAGCGCAGUUUUGUGGAAAAAAUCAAGUGAAGGAAGCAAGAUGCGGUGCGUGUUCGUCAUUUCAUGUAUCAGUUUGCUGACGGUCUUCACCGAGGGCUUUUGCUUCCUGGGUGGUCUCUUUGAAUACAAGUUAAGGGAAUCCCGGUUCUUUAGCCACAGGUGCGACAAUGCAAACUGGAGGGCGAGCUUAAACAGGACCACAUGGUCUGUUUGUCCCAAAACCAACACCUACCUCCGAGGAUUUUGGAGGAAUGCUUUUAAACCGGGAGACGAAAGAGUUGGAAGACUGAAAGAGGGAAGGUGCUGCGAUGCUGUGCAGCCCCAAUAUGCGGGCCAACCGGCAACAUGUUCAAAUACAGACUUGUCAGACAGGUUGAAUCGGUAUAACGUCUGGGCCCUUUGUCCUUCCGGCUAUUUCAUGAAUGGCCUCAGACUUGGUUGUUCUGAUCCCGCGUUUUUGAACAACAUAGACGAGGCAAAAUGUUGCCAUCCACAGAAUCAUCCCAGCAGUUAUAAAGACUGUUACGAUGAAGAUGUUACCAUUUCAUUUGACAAAAAAGGGUGGAGUGAAUGCCAGAGGGACGGUUUUUACAUGACCGGUUUCUACAAAAGUGACUGCGAUAAGCUCCACUGUAUUGCGAAGUUCAGAUGUUGCAAGAUAUAAGAUGGUACCAUCAGUCUUCUUCUCUAGUUAGAAACUGUUGUUCGUGGCAGACAGAGUGAUUGGGAAGACUGGGGAGAAUGCAACGCUGUCUGUGGAGACGGAGAACAAGAGCGUAAGCGCACUUGUACCAAUCCCGCUCCGUCUAUAUAGCAGGCUCGGUGUUCAGGACCCAGCAAGGAAACAAGGCCGUGUAACAAUGGACCAUGCCAUGAAUCAGAGUGAGGUUGUACAGAGGGUUGGGUUCAUUAUGGAAACUCUUGCUUCCUCGUCAUCGACAUUCCAAUCAGAGAAUGGAAAGAAGCCAGACGAAACUG